rnacentral:rRNA from 1 species
UACGGAGGGUGCGAGCGUUGUCCGGAAUCACUGGGCGUAAAGGGCGCGUAGGCGGCGCGAGCAGUCGAUCGUGAAAGUCCGGAGCUCAACUCCGGAUCGGCGGUCGAUACUGCGGUGCUUGAGGACUGGAGAGGAGACUGGAAUUCAUGGUGUAGCAGUGAAAUGCGUAGAGAUCAUGAGGAAGACCAGUGGCGAAGGCGGGUCUCUGGACAGUUCCUGACACUGAGACACGAAGGCCAGGGGAGCAAACGGG